UACUUGCAUUUCGGUGCAGGGGGGUCUGUGUACGGCUCAUUAAACGGUUUAUUGUCUACCCAACUAAGGGAGGUCUUGUACCUUUCCGACGGGAUAACUGCGCUAAGUGUGCAGCUAAUACCUGGAAGAAGAUUCCGCGAUCAUCAAACCAAGUGGCGGGGAAACUUUGCUGCUUGGGGUCUCGGAAGCUGUUGGCCGAAACAAAGACUGACGCCGUUCAAGCGGCAGGUGUAAUUGUUGACGCAGGCCAACGUAGCAGAAGCGCAUCGUUCAUCGGUGUGCGUGGUUGGACGAAUUCACCACCUAUCAGAUAGUAGGUAGUGUAGUGGACUACCUAGUCUUUAACGGGUACGGGGGAUCGGGGUUCGAUUCCGGAGAGGGUGCCUGAGAAACGGCAACCAUGACUAUGGUCAGCAGCAGGCGCGCAAAUUGCCCAAUGCUAACACAAUAACUAGCGAGGCAGCGACGAAAAAUAUCAUUUCUUGCGGGUUUCCGUAAGAGCGUGAAAUAGACUGUAUCUAAUAGACACUGCUGAAGACCAUUCGAGGGCAAGUCUGGUGCCAGCAGCCGCGGUAAUUCCAGCUCGAAGAGCGUAUAUGAAUGUUGUUGCGGUUAAAAAGCCCGUAGUUGGAUUUGAGAACUUUGUUUGUUGGUUUUACGGUGCGUACGACCAGCUUCGGCUGCCGUGCGUAUCGGCCAACAUUUGGACAAAGCUCUGAGACAUGUGGGAUCGUCCACGCUAGUUGCUGUUGUGCUCCUUCGGGCAGUGCAGCAGUGGCUAGCAUCUGUUUGCGGAGAGUUUCUCACACUCCCAUUCAUCAUGUGCGCCCGCAGCCGUCACUGUGAAUAAAUCAGAGCGCUCAAGGCAACCAACGUGUUUGGUUGAAUGCUAAAGCAUGGAAUGACAAGGGAUCGACCUUCGAGGCGUCUUUUUGUUAGUCUUUAAGCUUCACGUGUCCGUUUCGGCGGACCGGAGGAGAAUUUUGGUGGCUUUUUCUGCUUUCGUGUGUCUUCAGUGCUCUGCUUGCAUUGUGCUGGAGCUCGCGUUACAGGUGCCACCGCCCGGGAUAAAUAGGAUCACGGGGGGCCCUCGCUAUUGGCGGGCUAGUGGUGAAAUACUUAGACCCCGCCAAGAGCGACAUCAGCGAAAGCAGUGGGCUAUCGUGCUUUCAUUAAUCAAGGACGAGAGAUACGGGAUCGAAGAGGAUUAGACACCCUCGUAGUCGUAGUCUGUAAAUGCUGCAAGCUCGGGAUUGGUCACGGCUCUUACUCUAAUAUGACCUGAUCAGCACCUUACUCUUUCUAUCGGGAAACCAAAGCUUUUGUGUUCCGGGGGGAGUACAUUCGCAAGGCUGAAACUUAAAGGAAUUGACGGAGAACCACCACCAGUCGUGGAGUGUGUGGCUUAAUUCGACCCAACACGGGAAAUUUUACCAGGCCAGGACGUGUGUUAUGAUUGCCGGAUUGAUAGCUCCUGCAUGAUUCCGCGAAGGGUGGUGCAUGGCCGCUUCUGGUUGGUGAAGUGAUUUGUCUGCUUAAUUGCGUUAACGAACGAGAUCUCUGCCAAUUAUUAGAUAGCCCCUCCGUUUGUAGGCUGGAGGCGUUGUGGCUUGCGCAUUCUUGUGUGGGCUUCACGUUUGGUAACUCCUUACUCUGGUCGAGGAGGUAGUGCAGAAAGAGACGACUCCUGGGUGGCGUGAAAGCGUCUAUUCAGGUCGGUACGUCGUUUACUUAUUGGGAUUAUGCGAACUUCCAAUCGCAUUGAAGCAAGAGCCCAAAGCAGGUCUGUGAUGCUCCUUAAAUGUUCUGGGCUGCACGCGCACUACACUGAUUCAGCCAACGAGCUUCUGCGAGUCUACUGACUUGCAGCCUGGGUCGAGGGGUCUGGGGAAUCUUUUGAGCCUGAGUCGUGAUGGGGAUUGAUGCUUGUAAUUAUUCUCCAUGAACGAGGAAUGUCUUGUAUCCGCGUCUCAUCA
rnacentral:rRNA from 1 species